CCUACGGGAGGCUGCAGUGGGGAAUAUUGGACAAUGGGCGAAAGCCUGAUCCAGCCAUGCCGCGUGUGUGAAGAAGGCCUUCGGGUUGUAAAGCACUUUCAGUGGGGAAGAAAGCCUUGGGGCUAAUACCCUCGAGGAAGGACAUCACCCACAGAAGAAGCACCGGCUAACUCCGUGCCAGCAGCCGCGGUAAUACGGAGGGUGCGAGCGUUAAUCGGAAUUACUGGGCGUAAAGCGCGCGUAGGCGGUCUGAUAAGCCGGUUGUGAAAGCCCCGGGCUCAACCUGGGAACGGCAUCCGGAACUGUCCGGCUAGAGGUCGGGAGAGGAAGGUAGAAUUCCCGGUGUAGCGGUGAAAUGCGUAGAGAUCGGGAGGAAUACCAGUGGCGAAGGCGGCCUUCUGGACUGACACUGACGCUGAGGUGCGAAAGCGUGGGUAGCAAACAGGAUUAGAUACCCCGGUAGUC
rnacentral:rRNA from 1 species